AGGGUUUGAUUAUGGCUCAGGACGAACGCUGGCGGCGUGCCUAACACAUGCAAGUCGAACGGAGAAUUUUAUUUCGGUAGAAUUCUUAGUGGCGAACGGGUGAGUAACGCGUAGGCAACCUGCCCUUUAGACGGGGACAACAUUCCGAAAGGAGUGCUAAUACCGGAUGUGAUCAUCGUGCCGCAUGGCAGGAUGAAGAAAGAUGGCCUCUACAAGUAAGCUAUCGCUAAAGGAUGGGCCUGCGUCUGAUUAGCUAGUUGGUAGUGUAACGGACUACCAAGGCGAUGAUCAGUAGCCGGUCUGAGAGGAUGAACGGCCACAUUGGGACUGAGACACGGCCCAA
rnacentral:rRNA from 1 species